UGUAUAGCUUCUGUACCUAUGUACGUAUAUGGUACAUAUUGUAACACAACCAUUAUAUAUAAUGAGAUAAGCCACCCCUAGAGGGUUGUGCUGGUUCCCCAAAACUUAUUGUCUUACACCCACAAGGCCACAACGGCAAUAUGGGUUGCUGCUCACCGUCGCGCCGCCACCUUCUCUGACUGUGAUGGCCACCAAAGGAUUGACGCCAAUGAUCCUCAACAGCCACCUUCUACCCAUUUGCCGCUGAUAUAGAUGUUUUUUAAUUGCUUGAAAAACUGCAACAUAACCCACUAUACAUCAGUGUUUGCUUGCUCUAAACUUUUAGUUCUCCAUCUGGUUCUUCAGUUAUGUUGAUUGCAGACAAACAGCUGUCAAUUUCAUGUGGCCCAAAAGGGCCCCUUCUCGUGCGGUUACAUCACACGCAAGGAGGAGUAGAGGAAGUAUGUAGGUUGCACUUCUAUUAAGAAACUAUCAGCGUGAACCGCUGGACUUAAACUGCCAAAUAUGUUCUUGAUCACCAACAGAAAAUCUCUUGUCAACUGAUAGAUCCCUGAACUUGAGAUAUUGGGAAAACACUUGUAGAAACUCUUUAGAUCUGGAGAAGAGAAAUGAAGAGCUCUAUAGCUGAACAAGGAUCAUCGUUUGGCACAGAUUACGACGAGUGCGAAGGUGAAUUCUACGAGGAGGUAGAACCUUGUGACUGCAAAAUCGAAGGCAAGUUGCAAAUUGAUCAUGCUUUGACCUAUGUUUUCAUAUUAUGCAUAAUCUUUUGUAUUUUAAUGCUAUGCAUGUUUUACAAAAGUUUUACAAAGUAUUAUUACUAACUAGAGCCAUAGGUUCAAGACUUGCAACAAUGCUUGGCCACGCUUGCACAAAAUGGGUGGGAUGAAAACCAAAAUUGUUUUGAACCUUUAAACUUGCCUAUUUUGGGGCAACGUUUUGUGAAAACUAUUGAGAAACAAAACUAUAUAUUAUUUUAUCUUCUACUCCCUGGACGAAAUGGUAUUGACGGGAGCGUCUACCAGUGAUUGCACCCAUCAGGGUCUUGCAGUGAAUGCGCCCGACUGGGGUCUUGCACACAGGUUUUUGGUGCGGACUGCCGUCCAGGGGAAUGAGAUCUUGCAAAUACAGUUUGAUGUAGCUUCUAGUACAGCCACAUGCUACUAUGGGCUUUGGCUUAGCUUAGUACUAACCGGAAACCCUUACCUCAGGACCGCCAUCGGAGAGGGGCUUUCAUUGCCUAAGUUGCGGGUGGCUUGGUCAGAUAUAGGGGCUUGUUACGGAAAGGCUUCGUCACAAUCUCCUCCUAGUCGUACACCCAAGUGUGUAACGGUAAACGGGGUUGGUUGUGUCAUGUGGGGAACGUGUACAGCCUCUGCAGAGGGUUAGACCUAAUCGAUUAGCCGUGCCCCCGGUUACGGAAAAUUUUGAGCAACUGAAGACUUGGACUGAAGAAGAAUCUCCCCUCUCUUUUCUAAAAGUUUGUUUUAAGGGAAGGGAAGGUUGAGGAACGAGCACAGUGAAUGUGUUUCACUUCAACCAUAUUUAUGUUUUACCAAAAUUUGGAGAAUAGGCACUGGUGCGUAUAUUCAUGUGUCUCACUCCUACCUUUUAUACUAAAAACAUUUCUUUUUCAAAAGGAGUUUAUAAAAUUUAGUAUAGGAGAAAAUUGGCUUUAUGCAAAGCAAACCUCCAUCAAUACUACCCUGCAUAUAUAUUCUGUUAAAUUUCUUUUGCAAUUUGCGAGUACAUUCCACGUACUCACCUACACCUAUCAUGUGCAGAUCUCAAUAGAUUAAGAGACGAUAGGGUUAUGGUCUACACUCAACGAGCCCAGUGGCGUUGAUGGAGCCCUAACUUAGCGACUACGUAUUAUUCCGUUGUAUUAUGUGCCAGCAUUGACUUGUGCCAAUGGUAUGUAUUUGCUUAAUUCUGGAUCUUCCGUUGUAGAAAAAUGAUGUAUGCUUUAAUGAUAUUCAUUCUUGUUACUGUGUGUGCUAACUAUGAUCCAGGGAUAGCAUAGUAAACACAGAGACUUGGAUUCUACCAAAUCCGGGUCGUGACAAGGCCCUUCAUGGAGGGAAGUAGGGAUUUGUAGAGGUACCAGAGAUCAAAGCUUAAAUUGAGAGAUUAAAACAGUUUUGAGAGGCAUACUUUUCCCACCAACAAAAAU